CUUAAGUCUCAGACAUCAAAGUCUGAAAAUAUAUACUAUAACAUAGUACUGUCUUAUAUGUUUUUAGACACCAAGUCACUCCAGUAGAUGAAAGCAGCAAGUUAGCUCAGAGAUGGGGAAGGAUUUAUUUACGCUGGAAAUGCUGGGGACCAUUCAUUAGAAACUGAGAUCAAAGUUAAACAACUUCUAGAACCAAGACAGGUAAGAGCACUCAUAAAAGGCACACUUCAAGGCAAAGUUAAAGAGAUGGAAGAG